AUUGAACGCUGGCGGCAGGCCUAACACAUGCAAGUCGAGCGAGUGGCGGACGGGUGAGUAAUGUCUGGGAAACUGCCUGAUGGAGGGGGAUAACUACUGGAAACGGUAGCUAAUACCGCAUACCAUCAGAUGUGCCCAGAUGGGAUUAGCUAGUUGGUGGGGUAAUGGCUCACCUAGGCGACGAUCCCUAGCUGGUCUGAGAGGAUGACCAGCCACACUGGAACUGAGACACGGGCCAGAGUCCUACGGGAGGCAGCAGUGGGGAAUAUUGCACAAUGGGCGAAAGCCUGAUACAGCCAUGCCGCGUGUGUGAAGAAGGUCUUCGGGUUGUAAAGUACUUUAAGCUGGGAGGCGUUACCAGCAGAAGAAGCACCGGCUAACUUCGUGCCAGCAGCCGCGGUAAUAC
rnacentral:rRNA from 1 species